GUAACGCUGGCGGCUGCUAACACAUGCAAGUUGAACGGGUUUAAGUUUAUUACACUUAAACAAGUAGCGGACGGGUGAGUGACGCGUAAGAACCUACCUUUAGGUAAGGAAUAACUAUUGGAAACGAUAGAUAAUACCUUAUAAGCUUAUAGUAAAAGAUAAAAUCGCCUAAGGAUGGGCUUGCGUCUGAUUAGCUUGUUGGUGAUUUAAAAGAUUCACCAAGGCAACGAUCAGUAGUUGGUCUAAGAGGAUGAUCAACCACACUGGGACUGAGACACGGCCCAGACCUCUACGGAGGGCAGCAGUGAGGAAUUUUCCGCAAUGGGCGAAAGCCUGACGGAGCAAUGCCGCGUGGAGGAUGAAAGCUUGUGAGUCGUAAACUCCUUUUCUUAGUGAAGAAAUAAGACGGUAUCUAAGGAAUAAGCAUCGGCUAACUCCGUGCCAGCAGCCGCGGUAAUACGGAGGAUGCAAGCGUUAUUCGGAAUUAUUGGGCGUAAAGCGUCUGUAGGUGGUUUUUUAAGUCUACUGUUAAAUAUCAAGGCUUAACCUUAAAAAAGCGUUAUGAAACUAAAAAACUUGAGUUUAGUAGAGGUAGAGGGAAUUCUCGGUGUAAUGGUGAAAUGCGUAGAGAUCGAGAAGAACACGGUUGCGAAAGCGCUCUACUGGGCUAAAACUGACACUGAGAGACGAAAGCUAGGGGAAGCAAUAGGAAUAGAUACCCUAGUAGUCCUAGCUGUAAACGAUGGGAUACUAAGUGAGGGCUAUAAAAGCUCAUGGUGUACUAA
rnacentral:rRNA from 1 species